CCCAACUUGAAAAUCUCCCUUUGGAGAAUUGUAGUCUAGAGAAGCGCCCUCUGCGGCGGCCGGAGCCUAAGUCCGUUGGAAAACGGCGUCAGAGAGGGUGAGAACCCCGUCGGCUCUAGGCUUACCUGCUCCACGAGGUGCUUUCCACGAGUCGGGUUGUUUGGAAAUGCAGCCCAAAAUGGGAGGUACAUCCCUUCUAAGGCUAAAUACUGGCGAGAGACCGAUAGCGAACAAGUACCGUGAGGGAAAGAUGAAAAGAACUUUGAAAAGAGAGUUAAAAAGUGCUUGAAAUUGUUGAGAGGGAAGCGUUUGGAGGUUAUAGGUGCGCCUAGGCUUAUACGGUUCUAACGAGCCGUUGUAUGUGCUAGGUGCUGGUCAACAUGGCUUAGCUUGACGGGAUAACACCGGGGGUUGAUACCCCGUCUAUGCCGCCGGGUUGAUCAAGGUGUGAAUGGCGCUCUGUCCUUCGGGAACUGC
rnacentral:rRNA from 1 species